rnacentral:rRNA from 1 species
UACGAAGGGGGGCUAGCGUUGCUCGGAAUCACUGGGCGUAAAGGGCGCGUAGGUGGCGACCCAAGUCGAUGGUGAAAGCUCGCCGCUCAACGGCGAGUCGGCCACCGAUACUGGGUUGCUGGAGCACUGUAGAGGCUCAUGGAAUUCCGGGUGUAGCGGUGGAAUGCGUAGAGAUCCGGAAGAACACCGGUGGCGAAGGCGGUGAGCUGGGCAGUUGCUGACACUGAGGCGCGACAGCGUGGGGAGCAAACAGG